rfam:Triticum urartu cultivar G1812 contig1104081, whole genome shotgun sequence.
AACAUACUCCCACCAUCUCAAAAUUCUUGUCUUAAAUUUGUCUAAAUACGAAUGUAUCAAGUCACAUUUCCGUACUAGGUACAUCCGUAUCUAGACAAAUGUAAGCCAAGAAUUUUGGGACGGAGAGAGUACAAU